GGUUAGACGAAGAAUCCGAGUAAAGUGAAUGUUUAUCUAGUUAACAUUAAAUUUUAUAUAUAUGUUUAUUUCUUUUCUGAGGUGAAAUUUAUUUAAAGAGAUGUAAUUAUCUUAAAAAUUCGGAGGGACUAAAAAAUUUGGAUUAAAAACCAGGAUUAGAUACCCUGUUAUUCUAAAUAAUAAAUAAAUAGGGUAGUAAAAGUUAUUCUUCAAACCCAAAGAUUUUGGCGGCAUUUUAUCCAAAUAGAGGAGCUUGCCCCUUAAUCGAUAGUCCUCGUUUUAUCUUACCUUCUUUUGUUUAGCUUGUAUACCGCCGUUGUCAGAUUACUCUCAUAGGAUGUUUUCAGAAAAUAUAUUUUUAUGACUUCAGGUCAAGGUGCAGUUUAUAUGAAGGUGGAGGUGAGCUACAAUUUUAUCUAAAAAUACGAAAGCUUUAUUUUAAACAGGUCGAAGGUGGAUUUAUUAGUAAACUAUUUUAAGUAAAAAUGGUUGAAUGUGGUAAUAAAGUGUGCACAUAUCGCCCGUCACUCUCCUCUUAAGAGGAGAUA
rnacentral:rRNA from 1 species